CAGCUGCUGAAAUGAUGCUACAAAAUGAGUAUCAUUUUAUGUUAAAAUGCACGCAAAGCCAAAGGAAAGGAAGAAUGAUGUGCUACAUAGUAGGGAAAGAAGACCGAAAUACAGCAGCAAAACUGAUACAACUGAUCCAUCAGAGGAAGCUGGCACCACAUCACGAAGCUGUGUCAUCCCCAGACGUAGUCAGAAGACUUCAGCAUUCCGAGCCCAUGUUUUGGCUUUGAGACUGGAACAACAUGCAGGAAAAUCUGUCUGCUGCAGGAAACAUUCCUACCUGCGUUAAGAUCCUCAUUAUCAGUCUUAGCCUGUGCUCAGAGUUGUGCCGUGGAUUCCCAGGGUUGUGUUCAGGGCUGUGCUGCUGCAACGGCUGUGUGAAAUGGCUUAAGGGAAUGAAAGAAGCUACCUGACACAUCCCAGAAAGCAUGUUUCUUUCUAAAUCAAAGUGAGCUUCCAGCAUUCACUGAGGAUGUG
rnacentral:lncRNA from 1 species